UGGAGGAGUGGGUAGGUGAGGUAUGUGGUUAGGUUAGGUUAGAAAAGGUUUUGUUUAUCUUGUUAGGUUGUGUUUGUGUUGUUAAGUUAUUAAUAAAGUUUGUAGAAUUGAUGGUGAUGUUGUGAAAUCUCUUAACAAUAAGAAAACAAAGAUAUUGUCAAAUUUCACUGAACAUUUAUUAAAAACUUGAAAACAGAACCAUGGUUUCACGCUUAGCAACGCAUAAUCAGCUGUAUUGAGGAAUGAGGAUACAGAAAUAUUCUAGGAUUAGGUUAAGAAUGUUUCUGUAUCCUCAUUCCUCAAUACAGCUGAUGAUGCGUUGCUAAACGUGAAACCAUGGUUAUGUUUUAAAGUUUUUAAUAAAUGUUCAGAGAAAUUUGACAAUAUCUUUGUUUUAUUAUUGUUAAGUUAUGUUUUCAAGGUUGGGAUUGUUUCUUUGAAGAGGAGGUUAGGUGUAGAAAUAGAAGGAGAAGGAGGAGGAGGAGGUGAAGAAGAAAGAGGUGGAGGAGGAGGAAGUGGAGAAGUUUAACUUGGGUUUCUGUUGUUAGGUUAUGUUUGUGAGAUUAGAAUGUUGGUUAUAUGAAGAGGCUAGGACCAAAAAGAGAAGGAGGAGAAGAAGAAAGAGAGAUAAGGAAGAGAAGGAGAAAGAGGAGGUUAACUUGAGUUUCUGUUGUUAGGUUAGUCUGUGAGAUUAGAAUAUAGUUGCUAUGAAGAGGCUAGGAACAAAAAGAGAAGAAGAAAGAGAGAGUGAAGAAGGA